AAAUCACAGCCAUGAUUCACGGCGAGAUCAGACAGGCGUUGUCUCUCAGGGGACUACAGAGACUCUGAUAUGGAAUUAAAUAUAUGGGAUUAAAUAGCUGUGCUUGUGUUAAAUAAAUGGUAUUGGUGGCCUUGGGUUUGGGAUUUAACAAAUAGUGUAGGUUUGUGUGUGAUUUUUGUGUUUUGCUCUACAAUUACAGUCCACAGGAUACUGACGAGUAUCAAAUCACGACUUUACAAUCAAUAUACUGUAAAUACUAUGGUUACAUUAUGGGAAGGGGCACAGAUGCAUCCUGCUAUUUAGAAUAAGGGGCCAUUUAAUUUCAGUGCAUUCUGGGUUGUGCCAUUCAGUUUCGCUUAGCCACACCCACACUGAGAGCUGGGGAGACAUAUCUCUUUCUAAUUACAUCGAACACGUUGUUUGCAUGUGUCAGAUUGACUAUAUGAUAUACUUCACGUUCUUACUUCUUCUCUGUUCUGCGCUGUUAAUUCACGUUUGAUUCACCUAUGCACAGGUGAGGAGGAAAUGGGAAUCUGAAGAUGAACAGAACUGCGGGAAAUGCAUCAAUACCAAACAGAACUUGUCUGCCAACGCCAAGGCUGCCGCAGGUUGAAUGCCUUAGUACGUGUUCUGGAAUCCCUUGACAGCACCACGCAAUGUGAAGAUGCGGUUGCAAUUCUUUUAAACUGACACCGUGGACUCAGUCAACGUGCAGUAAUCAGCU